AUUAGACGAAUCAUCUGGAAAGAUGAAUCAAAGAAGGUAAUAAUCCUGUAGUCGAAAAUGUUGUCUCUCUUGAGUGGAUCCUGAGUACGACGGAGCACGUGAAAUUCCGUCGGAAUCUGGGAGGACCAUCUCCUAAGGCUAAAUACUCUCUAGUGACCGAUAGUGAACCAGUACCGUGAGGGAAAGGUGAAAAGCACCCCGGAAGGGGAGUGAAAUAGAACCUGAAACCGUGUGCUUACAAGUAGUCAGAGCCCGUUAAUGGGUGAUGGCGUGCCUUUUGUAGAAUGAACCGGCGAGUUACGAUUUGAUGCAAGGUUAAGCAGUAAAUGUGGAGCCGUAGCGAAAGCGAGUCUGAAUAGGGCGUUUAGUAUUUGGUCGUAGACCCGAAACCAGGUGAUCUACCCUUGGUCAGGUUGAAGUUCAGGUAACACUGAAUGGAGGACCGAACCGACUUACGUUGAAAAGUGAGCGGAUGAACUGAGGGUAGCGGAGAAAUUCCAAUCGAACCUGGAGAUAGCUGGUUCUCUCCGAAAUAGCUUUAGGGCUAGCCUCAAGUGAUGAUUAUUGGAGGUAGAGCACUGUUUGGACGAGGGGCCCCUCUCGGGUUACCGAAUUCAGACAAACUCCGAAUGCCAAUUAAUUUAACUUGGGAGUCAGAACAUGGGUGAUAAGGUCCGUGUUCGAAAGGGAAACAGCCCAGACCACCAGCUAAGGUCCCAAAAUAUAUGUUAAGUGGAAAAGGAUGUGGCGUUGCCCAGACAACUAGGAUGUUGGCUUAGAAGCAGCCAUCAUUUAAAGAGUGCGUAAUAGCUCACUAGUCGAGUGACACUGCGCCGAAAAUGUACCGGGGCUAAACAUAUUACCGAAGCUGUGGAUUGUCCUUUGGACAAUGGUAGGAGAGCGUUCUAAGGGCGUUGAAGCAUGAUCGUAAGGACAUGUGGAGCGCUUAGAAGUGAGAAUGCCGGUGUGAGUAGCGAAAGACGGGUGAGAAUCCCGUCCACCGAUUGACUAAGGUUUCCAGAGGAAGGCUCGUCCGCUCUGGGUUAGUCGGGUCCUAAGCUGAGGCCGACAGGCGUAGGCGAUGGAUAACAGGUUGAUAUUCCUGUACCACCUAUAAUCGUUUUAAUCGAUGGGGGGACGCAGUAGGAUAGGCGAAGCGUGCGAUUGGAUUGCACGUCUAAGCAGUAAGG
rnacentral:rRNA from 1 species